GAUGAAGAACGCAGCGAAAUGCGAUAAGUAAUGUGAAUUGAAGAAUUCAGUGAAUCAUCGAAUCUUUGAACGCACAUUGCGCCCCCUGGUAUUCCGGGGGGCAUGCCUGUCCGAGCGUCAUUACAACCCUCAAGCUCAGCUUGGUGUUGGGCCCCGCCGCCCCGGCGGGCCCUAAAGUCAGUGGCGGUGCCGUCCGGCUCCGAGCGUAGUAAUUCUUCUCGCUCUGGAGGUCCGGUCGUGUGCUCGCCAGCAACCCCCAAUUUUUUUCAGGUUGACCUCGGAUCAGGUAGGGAUACCCGCUGAACUUAAGCAUAUCAAUAAGCGGAGGA
rnacentral:misc_RNA from 1 species